CCUACGGGAGGCAGCAGUAGGGAAUAUUGCUCAAUGGGGGAAACCCUGAAGCAGCAACGCCGCGUGGAGGAUGAAGGUUUUCGGAUUGUAAACUCCUUUUGUUAGAGAAGAUAAUGACGGUAUCUAACGAAUAAGCACCGGCUAACUCCGUGCUAGCAGCCGCGGUAAUACGGAGGGUGCAAGCGUUACUCGGAAUCACUGGGCGUAAAGCGCGCGUAGGCGGGAUAGCAAGUCAGAUGUUAAAUCCUAUGGCUUAACCAUAGAACUGCAUUUGAAACUGGUAUUCUAGAGUAUGGGAGAGGUAGGUGGAAUGCUUGGUGUAGGGGUAAAAUCCGUAGAGAUCAAGAAGAAUACUCAUUGCGAAGGCGACCUGCUAGAACAUAACUGACGCUGAUGCGCGAAAGCGUGGGGAGCAAACAGGAUUAGAUACCCCAGUAGUC
rnacentral:rRNA from 1 species